UACGUAGGGAGCAAGCGUUGUCCGGAAUCAUUGGGCGUAAAGCGCGCGUAGGCGGCCCGAUAAGUCCGCUGUAAAAGUCAACGGCUCAACUGUUGAAAGCCGGUGGAUACUGUCGGGCUAGAGUACGGAAGAGGCAAGUGGAAUUCCUGGUGUAGCGGUGAAAUUCGUAGAUAUUCGGAAGAACACCAGUGGCGAAGGCGACUUACUGGACACAUAUUGACGCUGAGGUGCGAAAGCGUGGGGAGCAAACAGGG
rnacentral:rRNA from 1 species